GGGGCAAAGCCAGGCAUAAAGAAAUGGAGACGUGGGAAGGGGACCAUGUUGACUGCCAACUUGCGGAGGUCAGCAUUGAGCUGGCCAGGGAAACGGAGGCAGGUGGUGACACCACUCAUGGUGGCUGAGACAAGGUGGUUCAGAUCCCCGUAGGUUGGUGUGGUCAGCUUCAGAGUGCGGAAGCAGAUAUCAUAGAGGGCCUCGUUGUCAAUGCAAUAGGUCUCAUCAGUAUUCUCUACCAACUGAUGGACGGAGAGGGUGGCAUUGUAGGGCUCGACCACGGUGUCAGACACUUUGGGUGAAGGCACCACACUGAAGGUAUUCAUGAUGCGAUCAGGGUAUUCUUCUCGGAUCUUGCUGAUAAGGAGAGUGCCCAUUCCAGAGCCUGUGCCCCCGCCCAGUGAGUGGGUCAGCUGGAAGCCCUGCAGGCAGUCACAGCUCUCUGCCUCCUUCCGUACCACAUCCAGGACAGAAUCAACCAGCUCGGCGCCCUCUGUGUAGUGGCCUUUGGCCCAGUUGUUACCUGCCCCAGACUGACCUGGAAUGCAGUCAGGAGAAAAGCUCAAUUAACAGGGUAUGGAAGAUACAUGAUGUUUCCAUCUUUCAACUUUUCAAAUAAUUCCCUCGGAUGUAUCUUCUUUCUCCUUCACUGUGAUAUAUUCUCCCCCUACUGCCCCAUAAUUUACCAGCAAUAGUAGGCACUACCUCUACCCUCCGUUAGAUUUCAGAACACAUUUCUGUAUUAGCACUCCAAUACAACAAUCAUCUCCUAA
ensembl:lncRNA novel transcript, antisense to TUBB